rnacentral:rRNA from 1 species
CCUACGGGCGGCAGCAGUGAGGAAUAUUGGUCAAUGGCCGGAAGGCUGAACCAGCCAUGCCGCGUGAAGGUCAGUGCCCUAUGGGCGUUAAACUUCUUUUGUGCGGGAGCAAUAAUGGUCACGUGUGGCCAGACGAGAGUACCGUACGAAUAAGCAUCGGCUAACUCCGUGCCAGCAGCCGCGGUAAUACGGGGGGUGCAAGCGUUAUCCGGGUUUAUUGGGUUUAAAGGGUGCGUAGGCUGGGAGGUAAGUCAGCGGUGAAAUGCCCCCGCUCAACGGGGUGAAGUACCAUUGAUACUGCCUUGCUGGAAUGCGGAUGCGGUAGGAGGAAGUCGUGGUGUAGCGGUGAAAUGCAUAGAUAUCACGAAGAACACCGAUUGCGAAGGCAUCUCACGAAUCCGCGAUUGACGCUGAUGCACGAAAGCGUGGGUAUCAAACAGGAUUAGAUACCCGUGUAGUC